AAGAACCCCGGGAGGGGAGUGAAAUAGAACCUGAAACCGCAUGCAUACAAACAGUAGGAGCCUCGUCAGAGGUGACUGCGUACCUUUUGCAUAAUGGGUCAGCGACUUACAUUCUGUGGCGAGCUUAACCGAAUAGGGGAGGCGCAGCGAAAGCGAGUUCGAAAUGAGCGUCCAGUCGCAGGGUGUAGACCCGAAACCAGAUGAGCUAUCCAUGGCCAGGUUGAAGGUGUGGUAACACACACUGGAGGACCGAACCGACUAGUGUUGCAAAAUUAGCGGAUGAGCUGUGGAUAGGGGUGAAAGGCCAAACAAAUCUGGAGAUAGCUGGUUCUCCCCGAAAACUAUUGAGGUAGUGCCUCGUGUGUCGCUCCAGGGGGUAGAGCACUGUUUUGGCUAGGGGGACAUGGAGUCUUACCAAACCAAGGCAAACUCCGAAUACCUGGAAGCGUGAGCACGGGAGACAGAGCACCGGGUGCUAACGUCCGGACUCAAAAGGGAAACAACCCAGACCGCCGGCUAAGGUCCCCAAUAACAGCUAAGUGGAAAACGAAGUGGAAAGGCCGUGACAACCAGGAAGUUGGCUUAGAAGCAGCCAUCCUUCAAAGAAAGCGUAAUAGCUCACUGGUCGAGUCCUUCUGCGCGGAAGAUGUAACGGGGCUAAGCUGUUAACCGAAGCCGCGGAUGCACUGAUUAUUCAGUGCGUGGUAGGGGAGCGUUCUGUAAGUCUGCGAAGGCGGUUCGAGAGGACUGCUGGAGAUAUCAGAAGUGCGAAUGCUGACAUGAGUAACGUUAAAGCAGGUGAAAAGCCUGCUCGCCGUAAGCCCAAGGAUUCCUGCUCUACGUUCAUCGGAGCAGGGUGAGUCGGCUCCUAAGGUCAGGCCGAAAGGCGUAGCCGAUGGGAAUCAGGUUAAUAUUCCUGAACCUGCGUCAGAUGCGAUGGGGGGACGGAGCAUGAAAGAUCAUCCGGGUGUUGGAUGUCCCGGUUGACGAGCGUAGGAGGUCUGCAGGCAAAUCCGCAGACGCAUCUCCAAGGCGAAGUCACGUGCCGCCACGGCGGCGAAGUGAUCGGAAGUGCUUCCAAGAAAAGCCUCUAAGCACCAGUCUGACGCGGACCGUACCGCAAACCGACACUGGUGGGCGAGCUGAAUAUGCUCAGGCGCUUGAGAGAACUCGGGAGAAGGAACUCGGCAAAUUGACACCGUAACUUCGGAAGAAGGUGUGCCGUAGUACCGUGAGAGGAGAGACACCUUGAGCGGGAAUCGGUCUCAGAGAAUAGGUGGCUGCGACUGUUUAUUAAAAACACAGCACUCUGCAAAGUCGAAAGACGACGUAUAGGGUGUGAUGCCUGCCCGGUGCUGGAAGAUUAAUUGAUGGGGUGAGAGCCCUUGAUCGAAGUCCCAGUAAACGGCGGCCGUAACUAUAACGGUCCUAAGGUAGCGAAAUUCCUUGUCGGGUAAGUUCCGACCUGCACGAAUGGCAUAACGAUGGCCACACUGUCUCCUCCCGAGACUCAGUGAAGUUGAAAUGUUUGUGAUGAUGCAAUCUACCCGCGGCUAGACGGAAAGACCCCAUGAACCUUUACUGCAGCUUUGCAUUGAACUGUGAACCGAUUUGUGUAGGAUAGGUGGGAGGCAGAGAAGAGGCCACGCCAGUGGUCUUGGAGCCGACCUUGAAAUACCACCCUGAUUUGUUUGCGGUUCUAACCACGGACAGUGAUCCUGUCUUGGGACCGUGCAUGGUAGGCAGUUUGACUGGGGCGGUCUCCUCCUAAAGGGUAACGGAGGAGUACGAAGGUACGCUAGGUACGGUCGGAAAUCGUGCUGAUAGUGCAAUGGCAAAAGCGUGCUUGACUGCGAGAGCAACAACUCGAGCAGAUGCGAAAGCAGGUCAUAGUGAUCCGGUGGC
rnacentral:rRNA from 1 species